rnacentral:rRNA from 1 species
CCAGAGUGCCACACCAUCCUGUGUAUACCUGAUCUUGGCUGAUUUUGAAAGCUAAGCAGGGUUGAGCUGAGUUUGUACACAGAAGGCCAUUCACCAGGGAAUAUCCAGGAUCUCCAGGU